UGGUCCCUAGAGUCAUCAGAUUUUUUGAGUCCCUACUGAGUGUGAACUUCUGUGUUAUAGAACCAAUAUUUGCCAACUAUUUUUCAAGAUUCCUGUCUACUACAGACAGAUGGUGGAGUACAGAACCUGCCAAUCAGGCAAGAGAACAGUGAAAGCAGAAAAUGAAGAAAUCCUCCAAGGACACUGCAUCAGUCCAAGGGCAGUGUUUAUUAAACCUGAAAAAUAGCAUGAUGAUACAAA